rnacentral:rRNA from 1 species
AAUCAACGCUGGCGGCGUGCCUCAGACAUGCAAGUCGAACGCGAAAGUCCCCUUCGGGGGACAAGUAGAGUGGCGCACGGGUGAGUAACACGUAGGUAAUCUACCUUCGGAUGGGGAAUAACAAUCGGAAACGGUUGCUAAUACCGCAUAAUGCAGCGGCACCUAAUGGUGACAGUUGUUAAAGCGGGGGAUCGAAAGACCUCGCGUCUGAAGAGGAGCCUGCGGCGGAUUAGCAGUUGGUAAGGUAAUGGCUUACCAAGGCGACGAUCCGUAACCGGCCUGAGAGGGCGGUCGGUCACACUGACACUGACAUACGGGUCAGACUCCUACGGGAGGCAGCAGUCGGGAAUUUUGGGCAAUGGGCGAAAGCCUGACCCAGCAACGCCGCGUGAAGGAUAGAAAU